rnacentral:rRNA from 1 species
UGGGGAAUAUUGCACAAUGGGCGCAAGCCUGAUGCAGCCAUGCCGCGUGUAUGAAGAAGGCCUUCGGGUUGUAAAGCACUUUCAGCGGGGAGGAAGGCGUUAAGGUUAAUAACCUUGGCGAUUGACGUUACCCGCAGAAGAAGCACCGGCUAACUCCGUGCCAGCAGCCGCGGUAAUACGGAGGGUGCAAGCGUUAAUCGGAAUUACUGGGCGUAAAGCGCACGCAGGCGGUCUGUCAAGUCAGAUGUGAAAUCCCCGGGCUUAACCCGGGAAUUGCAUCUGAUACUGGUCAGCUAGAGUCUUGUAGAGGGGGGUAGAAUUCCAUGUGUAGCGGUGAAAUGCGUAGAGAUGUGGAGGAAUACCGGUGGCGAAGGCGGCCCCCUGGACAAAGACUGACGCUCAGGUGCGAAAGCGUGGGGAGCAAACAGG